GCACUGCUGAGGAGUCCCACAACAGGACGAACCGUUCGUCCUGUGC
rnacentral:hammerhead_ribozyme from 1 species